AUUGAACGCUGGCGGCAUGCCUUACACAUGCAAGUCGAACGGUAACAGGUCUUCGGAUGCUGACGAGUGGCGAACGGGUGAGUAAUACAUCGGAACGUGCCUAGUAGUGGGGGAUAACUACUCGAAAGAGUGGCUAAUACCGCAUGAGAUCUACGGAUGAAAGCAGAGGAUCGCAAGACCUUGUGCUACUAGAGCGGCCGAUGGCAGAUUAGGUAGUUGGUGGGAUAAAAGCUUACCAAGCCGACGAUCUGUAGCUGGGCUGAGAGGACGAUCAGCCACACCGGGACUGAGACACGGCCCAGACUCCUACGGGAGGCAGCAGUGGGGAAUUUUGGACAAUGGGCGCAAGCCUGAUCCAGCAAUGCCGCGUGCAGGAUGAAGGCCUUCGGGUUGUAAACUGCUUUUGUACGGAACGAAAAGCCCUGGGUUAAUACCCUGGGGUCAUGACGGUACCGUAAGAAUAAGCACCGGCUAACUACGUGCCAGCCGCCGCAGUAA
rnacentral:rRNA from 1 species